rnacentral:tRNA from 1 species
GUCCCCUUCGUCUAGAGGCCCUAGGACACCGCCCUUUCACGGCGGUAACAGGGGUUCGAAUCCCCUAGGGGACGCCA